rnacentral:rRNA from 1 species
UACGUAGGGGGCAAGCGUUGUCCGGAAUUAUUGGGCGUAAAGAGCGCGUAGGCGGUCCGAUAAGUCGGCUGUGAAAGUCAAGGGCUCAACCCUUGAAAGCCGGCCGAUACUGUCGGACUAGAGUCCGGAAGAGGCGAGUGGAAUUCCCGGUGCAGCGGUGAAAUGCGCAGAUAUCAGGAGGAACACCAAUUGCGAAGGCAGCUCGCUGGGACGUAACUGACGCUGAGACGCGAAAGCGUGGGGAGCAAACAGG